UUGGCCCUGAAUCAAGGCCAGCAGUUUGUUGAAACUGUUGGUUUCAAGCAGGAGCCUAAAAAAAAAAUGUCUACUAUUUCAGAAACUUUAGAUGUGUAAUAGUCAAUUCAAUAGAAACAUCU
ensembl:snoRNA